CUUAGCAGGCACUUCAAAUAACUGGUUAUGCAAAACAUGUCAACGGCGAAUGCCUUGUCGUGCUGAAUAACGUGUUUGCUUGAUUUUAGCUUAAUCCAUUUCAUAUGUUUUCCUUCUACGAUUGUUGAUCUUCCAAAGUGUUUCAUACCAAAUUUACAAACUGGAGUUCAUCUUAGUUUUUGUUUCAGUCAGCAAACGUUUUGAAGAAUAAUCAUGAUUGGAUAGGGGAUAGUGGUAGAGUCCCAUUACCACUGCUGCCUGAUCCUACAACAAAUUUUCAAUGGGAUGAGGUUAAACCACUUUCAGGAAAACCAUACUGUCAUUGUGUUCUUUCACCUACAAAUCUUCAUCCCCGUUAUUACAUGAUGCCGGUGAUGAACUUACGGUCAAAACUUCCUUCUAUUGAGGUCCCUACCAUUCUCAUCUAUGGGGGCAAGAGCUGGGACAGGUGUAUUAUGGACAAAGCAAACACAAGACUUUUGGUGUCGCAGGCUGGAAAAAGUUUGUUGCCGACAACGAUUUCAGGGUUGGAGAUGCUUGCAUUUUUUAGCUCAUGGAAAGCAGUGACAAGAAAGUCAUCUUGGAAGUUCAAAUUCUUAGAGAAUGAUCAUAGGUCAAGAGAAUGAAAGGAUCAUAGGUCACAGUCGGGAAAAUCCAGUUGUCCUUAACUAGUAUUCUAACCAUCUAAUGCAUUUCAUUUUCCUUUUCAUUCUGAAAUGGUUCAGGGUUAUUGGAUAACUUUUGUAUAAUUGGAUAACUUUUGUAUGUUAGUGCAUGGAUGUUGUGAUUGUUGUCCCCUGCCACAACUUGUUAGGAAUAGUAAAUUUAUGUGCUAUGUUCUAUGUAUAAAUACCACUUGAAUUUUAUUAUUGUCAUCAGUACU